GUGCUCGCUUCGGCAGCACAUAUACUAAAAUUGGAACGAUACAGAGAAGAUUAGCAUGGCCCCUGCACAAGGAUGACACGCAAAUUCGUGAAGUGAAACAGGAACCU
ensembl:snRNA U6 U6 spliceosomal RNA